GAUCAUUUGAAUUAAGAACAGGAUGGCUUAUUUCAGCAAUAAAGAUGAAGCAGAUGUCAACUGGAACAGAGAAGACUGAAUGAACUGUGAGAUGAACCUU